UGAGAGAUCUCUCUCACAAUCACUCUAGAGUGAUUGCCUCUCCACGAUCGAUCCGCGCUCCACGAGGUUCCUGCGCUUGCAAUGUGUUUGUAUUGUAACCGAUUACUGCAAACGGAAACAGUAGUGUCAGUACUAGAGAAGAUUAAAUCUGAUACGCAGAGCUCUUACGUGCAAGAUCCACGACCUGCUUGAGCAUCAGAUGCGAUAUCAUCGGAUGUCAUCCAGUUAUCUAUCCAUAUGUGCUACACUGUGAGGAAAAAUAAAAUCUUUCAGUUCAGUAUCAUUAACAAUGGUCUAAAAGCUCACAGGGAGGAAGAACGCAAGAGAGCAAACAAAUAUUUCUUCUACAAGCACACAGAUUUCUCCUCCUCCUUUGCAUUCAACACAGGACAGUCUAUCUCCGGCAGAAGAAGCAGAUCAAACGCAACGAGAUCAAGCGCGCAGCGCAGCUAUUCCGCUCAAAAUCUAGCGAUGACAAUGGCGUUGGACUAGGAUACCUUUGGGAAUGGCGCCCGCCGCCAUCGCCGGAGGAAGAGCGCGCCGGCGAAGAGAAGGAGAAGCCCUAGAACGUUCUUCCG
rnacentral:lncRNA from 1 species